AGUUAAAUAAAUGUAGUUAUUAUGUGCUACACAAAAUAUUAUGAUUUUGGGUGGCAAAGUUUCACAAACUGCUCAUCCUUUGAGUUCUGUUUCUUUCAAUUAUUCUGUGUGAGUCUGAGUGGAGUGGAGCUGCUCUACGAGGUUAAGAAGAGGGACAACAAUAAAACCAUCAAUGAGAAGAUGUAAAAAACCUCUCUGUGUCGAAAAGAUGCAAUUCUCAAGAAACCACCUCUGAUUGACCUCAAAGCUCGAUGGCCUGCCCUGUUCGAGCUUUCCCAGAUUGAGGAGGAAUUUCUGAGGAUUACACUGAAGUCCACGUUCCUGGGGAAGUUGGACGAAUACAAGCCCAAACUGCUGAGCCUGUACAGAAGGAAGGGAGGAGCUGUUGGGAAGAAACUCGAUGAGACCCUUGACAAAUUGAACGAGGCAUGAACUUACCACAGUUUAGCCAUCAGUUUUGUUUAGUAGCAAUCUGAUGUCUAUACUAUACUUAAUCUAAUUUUUCAUAUUUUUACAGGACAACAGCAUUGAAUCUCGAAGAGAAGCAGUGAUCAGAGGUCUCAUUCUCUACGUUGGUGAAAAACCGGAGGAGUUAUUCAAGGUCUACCAGAUUUGUGACGAUAACGAUGCUGCAGCUGUCCAAGAGGAUAUUUCUACAUUUGUCCUCAACAUCUUUGUGGUCUCCAAAGCCAGGGAUGAAAGUCUUGCCAAGUCAACAGGAACAGCCAUCGAGGGAGCAGAGGUUCUGUUUGGUAUUUCUGAUGUUGCACCUGCUUGUGCCUACCUGAUGGUUCUUAUGUAUGCCAUGGAACUUAGCUACACUAAAAAACUGAAAUAUACCUUUGAGGUAUUCCAGAUGAUCCUGUUGGAGCUGGAGGA